AACGCGAAGAACCUUACCUGGGCUCGAAGCGCAGUGGACCGGGAUAGAAAUAUCCCUUCCCCUUAAAAGGCUGCUGCGGAGGUGCUGCAUGGCUGUCGUCAGCUCGUGUCGUGAGAUGUUGGGUUAAGUCCCGCAACGAGCGCAACCCUUAUCCCUAGUUGCCACCGGGUAAUGCCGAGCACUCUAGUGAAACCGCCUCGGAUAACGGGGAGGAAGGUGGGGAUGACGUCAAGUCCUCAUGGCCUUUAUGUCCAGGGCUACACACGUGCUACAAUGGCCGGUACAAACCGUCGCAAACCCGCAAGGGGAAGCCAAUCGGAAAAAGCCGGCCUCAGUUCGGAUUGGAGUCUGCAACUCGACUCCAUGAAGCUGGAAUCGCUAGUAAUCGCGGAUCAGAACGCCGCGGUGAAUACGUUCCCGGGCCUUGUACACACCGCGAGC
rnacentral:rRNA from 1 species